rnacentral:rRNA from 1 species
AUCGAUAAAUCACGUUAANUUUUACUUUAAUUUUAAAUUUAUAUACCGCCAUCUUAAGAAUUAAUUUAAAAAUAUUUCUUUAAAAAUAAAUAAAAGAUUAGGUCAAGGUAUAAUUCACAUUGAAGAAUAAGAUGAAUUACAAUAAAUUUAAUUUCAAGAUUAUUAAUAAAUAUAUUCAUACAAAUAAGAAUUUAAAAGUAAUAUUUAAAUAAUAAUAUAAUAUGAUACCGACAACAAAUGUGUACACAUCGCCC